AGUGAACGCUGGCGGUAGGCCUAACACAUGCAAGUCGAACGGCAGCACAGGAGAGCUUGCUCUCUGGGUGGCGAGUGGCGGCCGGGUGAGGAAUACAUCGGAAUCUGCCCAGUCGUGGGGGAUAACGUAGGGAAACUUACGCUAAUACCGCAUACGACCUUCGGGUGAAAGAGGGGGAUCGCAAGACCUCUCGCGAUUGGAUGAGCCGAUGUCGGAUUAGCUAGUUGGCGGGGUAAUGGCCCACCAAGGCGACGAUCCGUAGCUGGUCUGAGAGGAUGAUCAGCCACACUGGAACUGAGACACGGUCCAGACUCCUACGGGAGGCAGCAGUGGGGAAUAUUGGACAAUGGGCGCAAGCCUGAUCCAGCCAUACCGCGUGGGUGAAGAAGGCCUUCGGGUUGUAAAGCCCUUUUGUUGGGAAAGAAAUCUUUCAGGCUAAUACCCUGGGAGGAUGACGGUACCCAAAGAAUAAGCACCGGCUAACUUCGUG
rnacentral:rRNA from 1 species